CACGCCCUCACUCUCUCCAGCUCUCCUCCAUCUCCUUCUCUUUCUUCUCUCAUCUCCGUUCUCCAUCUCCAUGAGUUUUAAUUUCAUCGCUUCUCAGUCCGGUGGUGGUGCGACCAUCGAAAAAUUCGACCCACGACCAUAUUUUCGAGCAAAUUCGAGCCAAGACCAUCCUUUUCGAUAAAUUCGAGUUUAGACCAUAAUUUUCGAGUUUUUUAGGUCAAAUUCGACCAUAAAACUCUAGAUCUAGAGUUUUCUUGGUCGAAUUUGACCCUUAAAACCCAAAUUUCAAGCCAAUUUCGAGGCCGAUCUGGUGUUGGUGGGGGUUUUGGUGGGGGUCGUGGUGGGCGAAGUGGGUUGGGAUCUGGUGUUGGUGGGGGUCUUGGUGGGCGAAUGGGCUGGGAUCUGAUGGAUGGUGGGGUCGUUUUAGGCGAAAAUGGCUGGGAUUUGGUGGAUGGUGGUGGUGCGCGUGCGUGGACGGUGGUGGUGGUGGUGCAUGUGGACGGUGGUGGAGCAAGUGAACAAGAGCUGUUGUUGUUGUUUUUUUUUUUUUUUUUUAAUCAAGCUGUUGUAUUAUUUUUAUUACUUAUAUUAAUUUUUUUCUUUUUAUGAAAUGUAAUACUUACAAGUUACAACAAUCAAUUAAUUUAUCUAAAUAUUAUUGGUUUUACAUAUA